rnacentral:rRNA from 1 species
UACGUAGGGUGCAAGCGUUGUCCGGAAUUAUUGGGCGUAAAGAGCUCGUAGGCGGUCUGUUGCGUCGGCUGUGAAAACCCGGGGCUCAACUCCGGGCCUGCAGCCGAUACGGGCAGACUAGAGUUCGGCAGGGGAGAGUGGAAUUCCUGGUGUAGCGGUGAAAUGCGCAGAUAUCAGGAAGAACACCCGUGGCGAAGGCGGCUCUCUGGGACGGUACUGACGCUGAGACGCGAAAGCGUGGGGAGCGAACAGG